rnacentral:tRNA from 1 species
AGGAUUAUAAUUUAAAAUAAAAUAUUUGAAUUGCAAUCAAAACUUACUUAAAAAAGUUAAUCUUA